rnacentral:rRNA from 1 species
UACGAAGGGGGCUAGCGUUGCUCGGAAUCACUGGGCGUAAAGCGCACGUAGGCGGAUUGUUAAGUCAGGGGUGAAAUCCUGGAGCUCAACUCCAGAACUGCCUUUGAUACUGGCGAUCUCGAGUCCGGGAGAGGUGAGUGGAACUGCGAGUGUAGAGGUGAAAUUCGUAGAUAUUCGCAAGAACACCAGUGGCGGAAGGCGGACUCGAC